ACUCCGUACUGGAAGUAGGAGGAGAGUCGGGACUCCCAGGACAGGGAGUGCACAAACUAUCCAGCACAGCCCCCUCCGCCCCCUUUGGAGGCUGAAGAGGGAUUCCAGCCUCUGCCACCCACAGACAGGGGCUGACUGGGGUGUCUGCCCCCCUUGGGGGGGCAGCACAGGGCCUCAGGCCUGGGUGCCGCCUGGCACCUAGAAGAUGCCUGUGCCCUGGUUCUUGCUGUCCUUGGCACUGGGCCGAAGCCCAGUGGUCCUUUCUCUGGAGAGGCUUGUGGGGCCUCAGGACGCUACCCACUGCUCUCCGGGCCUCUCCUGCCACCUCUGGGACAGUGACAUACUCUGCCUGCCUGGGGACAUCAUGCCUGCUCCGGGCCCCGUGCUGGCGCCUACACAUCUGCAGACAGAGCUGGUGCUGAGGUGCCACAAGGAGGCCGACUGUGACCUCUGUGUGCGUGUGGCUGUCCACUUGGCCGUGCAUGGGCACUGGGAAGAGCCUGAAGAUGAGGAAAAGUUUGGAGGAGCAGCUGACCCAGGGGUGGAGGAGCCUAGGAAUGCCUCUCUCCAGGCCCAAGUCGUGCUCUCCUUCCAGGCCUACCCUACUGCCCGCUGUGUCCUGCUGGAGGUGCAAGUGCCUGCUGCCCUUGUGCAGUUUGGUCAGUCUGUGGGCUCUGUGGUAUAUGACUGCUUCGAGGCUGCCCUAGGGAGUGAGGUACGAAUCUGGUCCUAUACUCAGCCCAGGUACGAGAAGGAACUCAACCUCACACAGCAGCUGCCUGCCCUGCCCUGGCUCAACGUGUCAGCAGAUGGUGACAACGUGCAUCUUGUUCUGAAUGUCUCUGAGGAGCAGCACUUCGGCCUCUCCCUGUACUGGAAUCAGGUCCAGGGCCCCCCAAAACCCCGGUGGCACAAAAACCUGGUGAGGCCUCCCCCUUCCCAAGUCCAUUCCCACUGUAGGCCGAUGCCUGUGCAAAGGACGCAGUGCCUUAUCAAAGAAGACCCUUGAAGAGGACUCACCCCAAGCAAGGGAACACUGGUGGGGGAACUUCUGCCUUCCUGGUUUCCUUGACUUUGGCCUCCUUCUCUUCCUCCUUAUCUUCUCCAACCUCCUUCCUUUAUUUGUUCCACAGACUGGACCGCAAAUCAUUACCUUGAACCACACAGACCUGGUUCCCUGCCUCUGUAUUCAGGUGUGGCCUCUGGAACCUGACUCCGUUAGGACGAACAUCUGCCCCUUCAGGGAGGACCCCCGCGCACACCGGAACCUCUGGCGAGCCGCCCGCCUGCGACUGCUGACCCUGCAGAGCUGGCUGCUGGACGCACCGUGCUCGCUGCCCGCAGAAGCGGCACUGUGCUGGCGGGCUCCGGGUGGGGACCCCUGCCAGCCACUGGUCCCACCGCUUUCCUGGGAGAAUGUCACUGUGGAUAAGGUUCUCGAGUUCCCAUUGCUGAAAGGCCACCCUAACCUCUGUGUUCAGGUGAACAGCUGGGAGAAGCUGCAGCUGCAGGAGUGCUUGUGGGCUGACUCCCUGGGGCCUCUCAAAGACGAUGUGCUACUGUUGGAGACACGAGGCCCCCAGGACAACAGAUCCCUUUGUGCCUUGGAACCCAGUGGCUGUACUUCACUACCCAGCAAAGCCUCCACGCUAUGGGAUGAUGACUUGGGAGCGCUAUGGGCCUGCCCCAUGGACAAAUACAUCCACAAGCGCUGGGCCCUCGUGUGGCUGGCCUGCCUACUCUUUGCCGCUGCGCUUUCCCUCAUCCUCCUUCUCAAAAAGGAUCAUGCGAAAGAGUGGCUGAGGCUCUUGAAACAGGACGUCCGGUCGGGGGCGGCCGCCAGAAGCCGCGCGGCUCUGCUCCUCUACUCAGCCGAUGACUCGGGCUUCGAGCGCCUGGUUGGCGCCCUGGCGUCGGCGCUGUGCCAGCUGCCGCUGCGCGUAGCCGUAGACCUGUGGAGCCGUCGUGAACUGAGCGCGCAGGGGCCCGUGGCUUGGUUCCACGCGCAGCGGCGCCAGACCCUGCAGGAGGGAGGCGUGGUGGUCUUGCUCUUCUCGCCUGGUGCGGUGGCGCUGUGCAGCGAGUGGCUACAGGACGGGGUGUCCGCGCCCGGGGCGCACGGCCCGCACGACGCCUUCCGCGCCUCGCUCAGCUGCGUGCUGCCCGACUUCUUGCAGGGCCGUGCGCCCGGCAGCUACGUGGGGGCCUGCUUCGACAGGCUGCUCCACCCGGACGCCGUACCCGCCCUUUUCCGCACCGUGCCCGUCUUCACACUGCCCUCCCAACUGCCGGACUUCCUGGGGGCCCUGCAGCAGCCCCGCGCCGCGCGUUCCGGGCGGCUCCAAGAGAGGGCGGAGCAAGUGUCCCGGGCCCUUCAGCCAGCCCUGGAUAGCUACUUCCAUCCCCCGGGGACUCCCGCGCCGGGACGUGGGGUGGGACCUGGGGCGGGGGACGGGACUUAAAUAAAGGCAGACGCUGUUUUUCU
rnacentral:sRNA from 1 species